CACGUAGGGCGCGAGCGUUGUCCGGAAUUAUUGGGCGUAAAGAGCUCGUAGGCGGCCUGUUGCGUCCGCUGUGAAAGCCCGGGGCUUAACCCCGGGUCGGCAGUGGAUACGGGCAGGCUAGAGGUAGGUAGGGGAGAAUGGAAUUCCCGGUGUAGCGGUGAAAUGCGCAGAUAUCGGGAGGAACACCGGUGGCGAAGGCGGUUCUCUGGGCCUUACCUGACGCUGAGGAGCGAAAGCGUGGGGAGUGAACAGG
rnacentral:rRNA from 1 species